rnacentral:rRNA from 1 species
AUUGAACGCUGGCGGUAGGCCUAACACAUGCAAGUCGAACGAGUGGCGGACGGGAGAGUAAUGUCUGGGACACUGCAUGAUGGCGGGGGAUAACUAAUGGAAACGGUAGCUAAUACCGCAUACUAUAGGAUGUGCCCAGGUGGGUUUAGCUAGUAGGUGGGGUAAAGGCUCACCUAGGCGACGAUCCCUAGCUGGUCUGAGAGGAUGACCAGCCACACUGGAACUGAGACACGGUCCAGACUCCUACGGUAGGCAGCAGUGGGGAAUAUUGCACAAUGGGGGCAAGCCUGAUGCAGCCAUGCCGCGUGUAUGAAGAAGGCCUUCGGGUUGUAAAGUACUGUCAUCGGGGAGGCGUUACCCACAGAAGAAGCAGCGGCUAACCCCGUGCCAACCGCCGGGGUAAUUC